AUAGAUAUAGAGAAGAUACAUUAAGUCAGGGGUUGUGGCAACCUUCAGCUUUUCAGAGGUUGUCAACUUCAUCUCCCAUAAUGCGCAUACUGUCAUAAGGCUGGCAAACAUCAGGGUAGAUACAUUUCACAAUAUCUGGAUGGCCAAAGGUUGCCUACCCGUGCAUUAUGUAGCAGAAUUAAGCAGCCCUUGCCUCCUUGUUUUUUCGAGUACUUUUUUAGGCAGAUAUCUAGUGUAUGUGAUAGCAAGUGCAUGAACAUAUG